rnacentral:pre_miRNA from 1 species
GCGCUCUUGGGGCCCAUGAAAUCAAGCGUGGGUGAGACCUGGUAAGAAGAGGAAGGCGACCCAUACUUGGUUUCAGAGGCCGCAAGAA